rnacentral:misc_RNA from 1 species
UCAAACUUGGUCAUUUAGAGGAAGUAAAAGUCGUAACAAGGUUUCCGUAGGUGAACCUGCGGAAGGAUCAUUAAUAUUUUUUUUAAACCUUUUAUUUUUGGGAGGCUUAUUUGUAUUCAAAUCCCACUCUUAAGAUUGGAUUAUUUAUAAUAAAUAAAUAAUAAAAAAAAGACAACUUUCAACAACGGAUCUCUUGGCUCUCUAUAAGAGACAGUCAAACUUGGUCAUUUAGAGGAAGUAAAAGUCGUAACAAGGUUUCCGUAGGUGAACCUGCGGAAGGAUCAUUAAUAUUUUUUUUAAACCUUUUAUUUUUGGGAGGCUUAUUUGUAUUCAAAUCCCACUCUUAAGAUUGGAUUAUUUAUAAUAAAUAAAUAAUAAAAAAAAGACAACUUUCAACAACGGAUCUCUUGGCUCUCGCAUCGAUGAAGAACGCAGC